rnacentral:rRNA from 1 species
AACGAACGCUGGCGGCAAGCUUAACACAUGCAAGUCGAGCGCCCCGCAAGGGGAGCGGCAGACGGGUGAGUAACGCGUGGGAAUCUACCCAUCUCUACGGAACAACUCCGGGAAACUGGAGCUAAUACCGUAUACGUCCUUCGGGAGAAAGAUUUAUCGGAGAUGGAUGAGCCCGCGUUGGAUUAGCUAGUUGGUGGGGUAAUGGCCUACCAAGGCGACGAUCCAUAGCUGGUCUGAGAGGAUGAUCAGCCACACUGGGACUGAGACACGGCCCAGACUCCUACGGGAGGCAGCAGUGGGGAAUAUUGGACAAUGGGCGAAAGCUUGAUCCAGCCAUGCCGCGUGAGUGAUGAAGGCCCUAGGGUUGUAAAGCUCUUCCAACGGUGAAGAUAAUGACGGUAACCGUAGAAGAAGCCCCGGCUAACUUCGUGCCAGCCGCCGCGGUAAGAC